rnacentral:rRNA from 1 species
UACGUAGGGGGCAAGCGUUGUCCGGAAUCAUUGGGCGUAAAGCGCGUGUAGGCGGCUUGGUAAGUCUGCUCUGAAAGCCCGAGGCUCAACCUCGGAACUGCCUUCGAUACUGCGGGUCUCGAGUCCGGGAGAGGUGAGUGGAAUUCCUAGUGUAGAGGGUGAAAUUCGUAGAUAUUAGGAAGAACACCAGUGGCGAAGGCGGCUCACUGGCCCGGUACUGGACGCUGAGGCGCGGAAAGCGUGGGGGAGCAAACGGGG